rnacentral:tRNA from 1 species
GGUAGGCUGACAGAGCGGUAAUGUGCCUGAUUGCUAAUCAGAGGCCAUGGUAAAACAUGCUGGGGUUCAAAUCCCUAUCCUACCGCCA